rnacentral:rRNA from 1 species
CAGCCGCCACGGUAAUACGGAGGGUGCAAGCGUUAUCAGGAUUCACUGGGUUUAAAGGGUGCGUAGGCGGGCAGGUAAGUCAGUGGUGAAAUCUUCGAGCUUAACUCGGAAACUGCCGUUGAUACUAUCUGUCUUGAAUAACGUUGAGGUGAGCGGAAUAUGUCAUGUAGCGGUGAAAUGCUUAGAUAUGACAUAGAACACCGAUUGCGAAGGCAGCUCACUAAACGCUCAUUGACGCUGAGGCACGAAAGCGUGGGGAUCAAACAGGAUUAGAUACCCCGGUAGUCCCUGUCUCUUAUAC